CCACACAAUUUGGCCAUUAUAAUGGGAUCAAACCAUCACAUUCAGCUCAACAGUCUUUGAACAUGUACUAACUUCUUAAAGUGCUUUAGAGUAGAGAACUACUUGUGGCAGAAGACAUUUUUUUUAAAUUAUGUCACACCCAGGUAAUAUUGCAUCUGCGGUCACAUGUUGUUUGAAUAUAUGAGAUGUAAACAAAACGAUAAAAAGUAAUUUGGCCACAGCUUUUCAUGACUGUACUGCUCAGACUCCUCCUAGAUAAUUAUUCCAGCAGGGAGGUGGAAUAAAUAGUCCAUUUUAAUUAAACUAUUUCACUACUUGGAUCAGAGGAUCUUGUAUAUACACACAGCCAUGUAUUACAGUACAAGUUGAAAAUGUGGUUUCAGCAUUUGCUUUUUAUUUGUUAAAGAACCUGAAUGGAAAACUAGGGUGUUGCGAGAUAUUUAUGUAUCGUGUAUCAUAAAAAAAGAAAAGAAAAAAAAGGCUUGUAUGUUUUUCUGUAUUUUUAUUUAUGCAAAAUUAUCAAAUAUUUUUUUAAUACUGUACUGGAUGCCCUAAACUGUGACUUUUGAAUUCAAAUAAUUUUUAUUGUUUAUGCUUUGGUUUUGUUUCUAAUUAGAUUAAAACUGAAUUUUAUUUUCUGUGUAUUUUCAGAUUUUCUGUGACUCUCCUUUCCAUGAAAACUCUGUAAACUUUGAUAUCCACUGACUGACAUGAAGCAAUGCAAAGCCAAAAUACAUUCAAGAACAUAAAACCACAGAACAAACACACGUGUGGUAAUACUUGGCAACAAACAUCGAAAUUACAGCUCAAGUUUCAACCUCGUCACAGUCCUUAAAGUUCACAAUGCAAACUAGAAAAGGAAAAAAACAACAA